rnacentral:rRNA from 1 species
GGUUUCUAGGAUCACCGUAAUGAUUAAUAGGGAUAGUUGGGGGACAUUAGUAUUCAAUUGUCAGAGGUGAAAUUCUUGGAUUUAUUGAAGACUAACUCUGCGAAAGCAUUUGCCAAGGAUGUUUUCAUUUAAUCAAGAACGAAAGUUAGGGGAUCGAAGACGAUCAGAUACCGUCGUAGUCUUAACCAUAAACUAUGCCGACUAGGGAUCGGACGAUAGUUUAAUUUAAUGACNCG